rnacentral:lncRNA from 1 species
AUUGUAGUGUAAUAUUUAUGCCUACUAUACUGUAUAACACGUUAUUCAAAAGGGAUAUGCCAUUUCUGAGACACGAUAACAAAAAAAAAGUUUGAGGAAAUUAUUUUGCUUCUAUUUAUAGCUCUGUCAAAAGUCAGAAGACUCUAAAUGCUUUGCAAAAAUGGUUUCACAUUUGCUUAAAUGCUUCAUCACAGUCACAUUUAAAAUAGUGACUCUAAACAAAGAAGAAAGCAGCACUGUCAUCAGAUGCAUGAUAAACCAAAAUAUGAAAAUGGGAAAUGUUUAAUUAACCUAGUCAUUGGGUGGGUUAAGUACAUGGGUGAAUUUUAUAUGUGAAUUGCUGAAGUAGGGGCCAGGUCACUGGUAGUUCUAGUAUGGAAUGGGAGAAGUGAAAGUUCAGUUCUAGAACUUUCCAUACUUCCAAGUUUACUGCAAGUUUUUAUGCUUGAGAGAGAUGCUUUCUAAUAUAAGACUGAUGUGUUGAUUUUACUGAUUGUACUGUACAUCUAUUAAAGCCUUAGAUUAUUACAUUACGGGUUGGAACCCAUACCAAUGU